GCCGGGUGUGGUGGCUCACGCCUGUAAUCCCAGCACUUUGGGAGGCUGAGGCGGGUGGCUCACCUGAGGUCGGGAGUUCGAGAUUAGCCUGACCAACAUGGAGAAACCCCGUCUCUA
ensembl:misc_RNA Metazoa_SRP Metazoan signal recognition particle RNA